UGUAAGUCCUGUAGCAGGACAAAGGCAGUGUUAUUGAGUGUGGGAGAGGAAUGGCGCCGGCGGCUGAAGGAACAAGAACAGGAGCCGCUGGAAAAGCUGAGCAGGUCCGGCAGCUCGUGUCGGGAGGAAUGUGAGGAGGUGUUUCGGGUCCGGGGAUUCUCCUUCAGAACAGGACCAGGUUUCAGGAACAUCCCGGGGAGGUCGCCAGGCCCGAGCGCCAAGACCUGGCUCCUGCCCCCGGGGAGAGGAGACAGUGAGACAGGGAAGACACGCGGACAGAAAUCUGAAAGCAAAUGAAACAACAACUUCUGACAGAGACACUUGAUUCAUUGGGACUUGAAUAUCAGCAACUGUUCAAAUCGAGAAGAAACGUUUGCUUUUAUUUGCUUGAGAGAGAUUUUGGAUACUGGUGUGGCAGGAAGAAUACUGAGACACACAACUGAGAGAGAUUCAGUGCGCUGACUGUGAAAACUGCUUCAACCUAAUGACUCAGCUUGGGGCAUAAAAAUCUAACCAUUCACGGUGGGGAGAGACUGUGAACGCAUUUUGUCUGUAAUUUCAAAUCCAGAGCGACACCAGGAAAGCUCUCCCUAUUGGGAAACCGUGGAAAUGAGGCGCACAAGGACCGUGCGGGGGCAUGGGUCC